GGUGCUGUGGCUCAGUGGUAAAGCACUUGCCUUGCAUACAUGAGGCCCUGGGUUUGAUUCCCCAGCACCA
rnacentral:tRNA from 1 species